AGACGUGUCUAAUAGAUGGCGUGUCGAUUAUUGUGUCAGUUAUGGGCUUAUGGCGUUUUGCUGUCAGAAGUUAAGCUAUCUUUUCUUCGAAAAUUACCAAUGAAUUCAUAGUCUGAUAACUGAAAACUUACAGUCUGAAUGUCGUGCAGCCGGCCGUCAACUAUUUUGUUCAAACUCAUUGUAUUCUACUGAAUGUGCCAUCGAAAUGAUACAGGAUUCAUCAUAAUUAUCGGCUGUUUCUAUUGGACUUGCUAGAUCACCAACCCCAGCAUG
rnacentral:lncRNA from 1 species